rnacentral:rRNA from 1 species
UAAGAAUUUAAUAGUCGAACAGACUAAAACUUAAGAAUGCUGCUUCUUAAAUUAACCUUAAUUCAACAUCGAGGUCGCAAAAAUUAAUAUAAAUAAGAACUCCCCAUUAACAUUACGCUGUUAUCCCUAAGGUAACUUUAUCUUAAAAUUUUUAAUAAAGAUCAAAAUAAACAUAAAUAAAUGAAAUUAAAAAUUAAAGUUAAAAUUUAAUCACCACCCCAGCAAAAUAUAUUAAAAAUUUAAAUAUUGAUAAAUAAAAAAACUUAAAUAAUUAUAAAUAUAAAGUUCUAUAGGGUCUUAUCGUCCCAAGAAAACAAUUAAGCAUUUUUACUUAAAUUUAAAAUUCUAAUAAUAUAAUCUAAUAAAAUUACAUUCUCAUGUAUCCAUUCAUUCCAGUUUCUAAUUAAGAAACUAAUUACUAUGCUACCUUUGCACAGUCAAAAUACUGCAGCCAUUUAGAUUUAAACCAUAGGGCAGAAAUUACCUUUUAAAAAAUCA